rnacentral:rRNA from 1 species
GACUUUGUGGAUCCGGGAGUAGGUUGUGGGGUACUCUCAGGGUAGGGGUAAAAUCCUUGUCAUCCUGAGAGGACCACCUGUUGCGAAGGCGCCACACUAGAACGGAUCCGACGGUCAGGGACGAAACCUAGGGGCACGAACCGGAUUAGAUACCCGGGUAGUCCUAGGUGUAAACGCUGUGGACUGAUGUUGGGGGCGCUCCGAGCGCUCUCAGUGUCGAAGCGAAGGUGAUAAGUCCACUGCCUGGGGAGUACGUCGCAGGCUGACUCAAAGGAAUGACGGAUCACUAGUCGCCGCCUGCA